rnacentral:rRNA from 1 species
UACGUAGGGUCCGAGCGUUGUCCGGAAUUAUUGGGCGUAAAGGGUGCGUAGGCGGUUUGGUAAGUCUCGUGUGAAAUCUCCGGGCUCAACUCGGAACCUGCACGAGAAACUGCCGGGCUUGAGUGUGGGAGAGGUGAGUGGAAUUCCUGGUGUAGCGGUGAAAUGCGUAGAUAUCAGGAGGAACACCUGUGGCGAAAGCGGCUCACUGGACCAUAACUGACGCUGAUGCACGAAAGCUAGGGGAGCAAACAGG